ACACGACUACAUUAGAUACCCGGUGUAGUCCUAGCCGUAAACGAUGCGGACUGGGUGUUGGGAUGGCUUUGAGCUGUUCCGGUGCCGAAGGGAAGCUGUUAAGUCCGCCGCCUGGGAAGUACGGUCGCAAGACUGAAACUUAAAGGAAUUGGCGGGGAGCACCACAACGCGUGGAGCCUGCGGUUUAAUUGGAUUCAACGCCGGAGAUCUCACCAGGGGCGACAGCAGUAUGAUGGCCAGGUUGAUGGCCUUGCUUGACAAGCUG
rnacentral:rRNA from 1 species